UACGAAGGGUGCAAGCGUUACUCGGAAUUACUGGGCGUAAAGCGUGCGUAGGUGGUGAGUUAAGUCUGUCGUGAAAGCCCCGGGCUCAACCUGGGAAUGGCGAUGGAUACUGGCUCGCUAGAGUGCGGUAGAGGAGAGUGGAAUUCCCGGUGUAGCAGUGAAAUUCGUAGAUAUCAAGCGGAACACCGGUGGCGAAGGCGGCCUUCUGGACGAUGACUGACGCUGAAGCGCGAAAGCGUGGGGAGCAAACAGG
rnacentral:rRNA from 1 species